AAUGAACGUUGGCGGCGUGGAUUAGGCAUGCAAGUCGAGCGUGUACCCCGCAAGGGGGAAAGCGGCGUAAGGGAGAGUAAUACGUAGAUACGUGCCUCCGGGUCUGGGAUAGCCAUGGGAAACUGUGGGUAAUACCGGAUAAUGUCUGAGGACCAAAGGUGUGAUUCCACCUGGAGAUCGGUCUGCGUCCUAUCAUGCUUGUUGGUGAGGUAACGGCUCACCAAGGCUACGACGGGUACGGGGAGUGAGAGCUUGCCCCCGCUCACUGGGACUGAGACACUGCCCAGACACCUACGGGUGGCUGCAGUCGGGGAUCUUCGGCAAUGGGCGCAAGCCUGACCGAGCGACGCCGCGUGCGGGAUGAAGGCCUUCGGGUUGUAAACCGCUGUCAGUGGGGAGGAAGGCUCCGUGAAGAACGGGGUUUGACCUAUCCGCAGAGGAAGUGUGGGCUAAGUUCGUGCCAGCAGCCGCGGUAA
rnacentral:rRNA from 1 species